rnacentral:rRNA from 1 species
UUCCGGUUGGAUCCGCCGGAGAUCACCGCUUUUGGGGUUCGAUUAAGCCAUGCGAGUCUUUGGCAGCAAUGCCAAGGCGAACUGCUGAGUAACACGUAGUUAACCUGCCCUUAAGUCUGGGAUAAUCUCGGGAAACUGAGCAUAAUACCAGAUAAGUGAUAAUACCUGGAACGGUUUAUCACACAAAGCUUAGGCGCUCAAGGAUGGGACUGCGGUAGAUUAGGUUGAUGUUAGGGUAACUGCCUAACAUGCCGAUAAUCUAUAGGGGCUGUGAGAGCAGUAGCCCCCAGAUGGGUUCUGAGACACGAACCCAGGUCCUAAGGGACGCAGCAGGCGCGAAACCUCCGCAAUGCACGCAAGUGUGACGGGGGGACCUCAGGUGCUAGCGCUUAAAGUGUUAGCUUUUCGUGAGUUUAAAUUGCUCGCGGAAUAAGUGGUGGGUAAGACCGUUGCCAGCCGCCGCGGUAAUAACGGCACCACAAGUGGUGAUCACGUGUAUUGGGCCUAAAGCAUCCGUAGCCGGCUCAGUAAGUUUUCGGUUAAAUCUGUACGCUCAACGUACAGGCUGCCGGGAAUACUGCAGAGCUAGGGAGUGGGAGAGGUAGACGGUACUCGGGAGGAAGUGGUAAAAUGCUUUGAUCUUUCGAUGACCACCUGUGGCGAAGGCGGUCUACCAGAACACGUCCGACGGUGAGGGAUGAAAGCUGGGGGAGCAAACCGGAUUAGAUACCCGGGUAGUCCCAGCUGUAAACUAUGCAAACUCAGUGAUGCAUUGGCUUGUGGCCAAUGCAGUGUUGCAGGGAAGCCGUUAAGUUUGCCGCCUGGGAAGUACGUACGCAAGUAUGAAACUUAAAGGAAUUGGCGGGGGAGCACCACAAGGGGUGAAGCCUGCGGUUCAAUUGGUUCAACGCCGGA